UAGCUACAGGCUUAACACAUGCAAGUCGAGGGGAAACGACAUUGAAAGCUUGCUUUUGAUGGGCGUCGACCGGCGCACGGGUGAGUAACGCGUAUCCAACCUGCCCACCACUUGGGGAUAACCUUGCGAAAGUAAGACUAAUACCCAAUGAUAUCUCUAGAAGACAUCUGAAAGAGAUUAAAGAUUUAUCGGUGAUGGAUGGGGAUGCGUCUGAUUAGCUUGUUGGCGGGGUAAUGGCCCACCAAGGCAACGAUCAGUAGGGGUUCUGAGAGGAAGGUCCCCCACAUUGGAACUGAGACACGGUCCAAACUCCUACGGGAGGCAGCAGUGAGGAAUAUUGGUCAAUGGGCGAGAGCCUGAACCAGCCAAGUAGCGUGCAGGAAGACGGCCCUAUGGGUUGUAAACUGCUUUUAUAAGGGAAUAAAGUGAGUCUCGUGAGACUUUUUGCAUGUACCUUAUGAAUAAGGACCGGCUAAUUCCGUGCCAGCAGCCGCGGUAAUACGGAAGGUCCGGGCGUUAUCCGGAUUUAUUGGGUUUAAAGGGAGCGUAGGCCGGAGAUUAAGCGUGUUGUGAAAUGUAGAUGCUCAACAUCUGAACUGCAGCGCGAACUGGUUUCCUUGAGUACGCACAAAGUGGGCGGAAUUCGUGGUGUAGCGGUGAAAUGCUUAGAUAUCACGAAGAACUCCGAUUGCGAAGGCAGCUCACUGGAGCGCAACUGACGCUGAAGCUCGAAAGUGCGGGUAUCGAACAGGAUUAGAUACCCUGGUAGUCCGCACGGUAAACGAUGGAUGCCCGCUGUUGGUCUGAAUAGGUCAGCGGCCAAGCGAAAGCAUUAAGCAUCCCACCUGGGGAGUACGCCGGCAACGGUGAAACUCAAAGGAAUUGACGGGGGCCCGCACAAGCGGAGGAACGUGUGGUUUAAUUCGAUGAUACGCGAGGAACCUUACCCGGGCUUGAAUUGCAGAGGAAGGAUUUGGAGACAAUGACGCCCUUCGGGGCCUCUGUGAAGGUGCUGCAUGGUUGUCGUCAGCUCGUGCCGUGAGGUGUCGGCUUAAGUGCCAUAACGAGCGCAACCCCUCUCCUUAGUUGCCAUCAGGUUAAGCUGGGCACUCUGGGGACACUGCCACCGUAAGGUG
rnacentral:rRNA from 1 species